UAGUGGCGCACGGGUGCGUAACGCGUGGGAAUCUGCCCUUUGCUUCGGAAUAACUCAGGGAAACUUGUGCUAAUACCGGAUGAUGUCUUCGGACCAAAGAUUUAUCGGCAAGGGAUGAGCCCGCGUAGGAUUAGGUAGUUGGUGGGGUAAAGGCCUACCAAGCCGACGAUCCUUAGCUGGUCUGAGAGGAUGAUCAGCCACACUGGGACUGAGACACGGCCCAGACUCCUACGGGAGGCAGCAGUGGGGAAUAUUGGACAAUGGGCGCAAGCCUGAUCCAGCAAUGCCGCGUGAGUGAUGAAGGCC
rnacentral:rRNA from 1 species